ACCGAGUUUACAACUCCCCAAACCCCUGUGAACAUACCUAUCGUUGCUUCGGGCGGAUCCGCCCGCGGCGCCCUCGGGCCCGGAUACAGGCGCCCGCCGGAGACCCCAAAACUCUUGUAGUUUCUUUAGUAUCUUCUGAGUAAAAACAAGCAAAUAAAUUA
rnacentral:misc_RNA from 1 species